AAACCUUACAUAUUAAAGAUCAAGUGAAAUAUCUGUUCUUAUCAGUUUAAUAUUUGAUAUAUCCUCUAUCUGUGGACAAUAUAUUAAAUGGACUUUUGGAGCAGGGAGGUGGAAUAGGAGCUUAUUCCAUCCACCCCAUACAUCGACCUGGUAUUGUAGUACCUCCAGGAAUGGUAAAGAAUCA
ensembl:snRNA U2 U2 spliceosomal RNA